UACGUAGGGAGCAAGCGUUGUCCGGAUUUACUGGGUGUAAAGGGUGCGUAGGCGGCUUAGCAAGUCAGAAGUGAAAUCCAUGGGCUUAACCCAUGAACUGCUUUUGAAACUGCCAUGCUAGAGUGCUGGAGAGGUAAGUGGAAUUCCUAGUGUAGCGGUGAAAUGCGUAGAUAUUAGGAGGAACACCAGUGGCGAAGGCGGCUUACUGGACAGUAACUGACGUUGAGGCUCGAAAGCGUGGGGAGCAAACAGG
rnacentral:rRNA from 1 species